CAAGUGUGUGUCCUCAGGGGCCAAUAGAAAAAACAACCCAAGACUAUUAAUACAUUGUGUACUUGAAAUCUGAAUUUUUGAGUUUUCUCCAGGUCGACUUUGCUCACAUGCUGGACUUGGAUAGCCUUGGUUUCAAUGUCAAGGCGGGUUAUCAAGGGAGUACUUUUAAGCUCCGAAUACCUUUCCCUAGACGCGCAGAAGAUCGAAAGGAUGUGAAGACCCUCAUAGUGGAAAUGCUUUGUGCCGCUAGACCACAAGAUAAUUGAUCUUGCAGCGCAGCAGUGGAGCAAGGAGGUUCUUGCAAUGUGCAUCAUAUGUGUUGGCUGAGACGAGAAAUUAGACUAGAAGCUGGUGAAUAGAUAAAAAAUCUGGAGGGAAAGGAGAAAACGAGAAAAAUCUGCUCAGAUGCUCCUCUUUUCUUUUCUUUUUUUUUUUUUUGUUUCUUUCUCGUAUAUUCUGGUGGACUAGCUAUAUUGGCAUUCACGGUGUAGUCACUCAGAUGACUAUUUCAUGUCCAAAUUGUCUCAUGUAAGUAACAUUUCAUAUUCCGCACACAAACUAAUGUACAUAUAGUGUCACACUACAGAAAAGAAAGAUUAUAUAAAUGAUUCUUGCGUGUUUCAUACUUUGAGAGAUUGAACAGGGAUGAGUUGCUACACCAAAGAAUAUUUAUGUGAAAAUAUAUAUGCUUACAGAUAAGUUUACAGUAUCUUCUAAUCCCCAUUUCUCUCUAAAUUCUUGUGAUACAAAUG